rfam:TPA: Bos taurus chromosome 14, whole genome shotgun sequence.
UCCCUGGUGGCCCAGUGGUUAAGGUGCCACACUUCCACUGUAGGGGGUGCAGGUUCGAUCCCUGGUCAGGGAA